rnacentral:sRNA from 1 species
AUGGCUGUCGUCAGCUCGUGUCGUGAGAUGUUGGGUUAAGUCCCGCAACGAGCGCAACCCUCACUUUUAGUUGCUACCAUUUAGUUGGGCACUCUGAAAGAACUGCCAGUGAUAAGCUGGAGGAAGGUGGGGAUGACGUCAAGUCCUCAUGGCCCUUACGUGUUGGGCUACACACGUGCUACAAUGGCAUCUACAACAGGAAGCAAGAAUGCGAAUUUAAGCAAAUCCCUAAAAGAUGCCUCAGUUCGGAUUGUACUCUGCAACUCGAGUACAUGAAGCUGGAAUUACUAGUAAUCGCGGAUCAGCGUGCCGCGGUGAAUACGUUCCCGGGUCUUGUACACACCGCCCGUCACACCAUGGGAGUUGGUUCUACCUUAAGGCAAAAUGUUAACCUUCGGGAAGCAUUUGACCACGGUAUAGUCAGCGACUGGGGUGAAGUCGUAACAAGGUAGCCGUAGGGGAACCUGCGGCUGGAUUACCUCCUUUCUAAGGAUGAUUACAAAGAAAUUGCUUUAUAAUCUAAAAAAUACACAUGGUAAUGUUGACUGUCCUCAUUUCUCUUCUUAAAAUAGUGUUUCGGACUUACUUGUAUGUAGGGGCCGGUAGCUCAGUUGGUUAGAGCGCACCCCUGAUAAGGGUGAGGUCGGAAGUUCGAAUCUUCCUCGGCCCACCAAUACUUACCUGGGGGAUUAGCUCAGCUGGGAGAGCGCCUGAUUUGCAUUCAGGAGGUCAGCGGUUCGAUCCCGCUAUCCUCCACCAAAACACUUAGAUCUUUAAAAUCGUAAAUAUUUAAUAUUAUCAAUAUCUAUAUCCGAACAUUAGUUAUUUUUUUAUAAUUAAUGUUCAAAUAAAAAUUUGAUUCAACACAGAAUUUUUUUCUGUGCAUAAAUCAAGCGUUUAAGGGCGUGUGGCGGAUGCCUUGGCACUGAAAGCCGAUGAAGGACGUGGUAUACUGCGAUAAGUUUCGGGGAGCUGUAUGCAAGCUUUGAUCCGAAAAUUUCCGAAUGGGGAAACCCGG